UAUCUGCUCCUAUAUCCAUUAUACCU
rnacentral:misc_RNA from 1 species